rnacentral:rRNA from 1 species
GACAGAGGGUGCAAACGUUGUUCGGAAUUACUGGGCGUAAAGCGUGUGUAGGCGGUCUCAUAAGUCGGCUGUGAAAGCCCUGGGCUCAACCCAGGAAGUGCACUCGAUACUGUGAGGCUAGAGUAUCGGAGAGGUUGGUGGAAUUCUCGGUGUAGAGGUGAAAUUCGUAGAUAUCGAGAGGAACACCGGUGGCGAAGGCGGCCAACUGGACGAAUACUGACGCUGAGACACGAAAGCGUGGGGAGCAAACAGG